rnacentral:rRNA from 1 species
UACGGAGGGAGCUAGCGUUGUUCGGAAUUACUGGGCGUAAAGCGCGCGUAGGCGGCUUUGUAAGUUAGAGGUGAAAGCCCGGAGCUCAACUCCGGAAUUGCCUUUAAGACUGCAUCGCUUGAAUCCAGGAGAGGUGAGUGGAAUUCCGAGUGUAGAGGUGAAAUUCGUAGAUAUUCGCAAGAACACCAGUGGCGAAGGCGGCUCACUGGCCCGAUACUGACGCUGAGGCACGAAAGCGUGGGGAGCAAACAGG